AGCAGCCGCGGUAAUUCCAGCCCCAAUAGCGUAUAUUAAAGUUGUUGCAGUUAAAAAGCUCGUAGUUGAAUUUCGGGAUUGACACAUCGGUCGUGCCUUAAGGGGUAUGAACUGGUGUAGUCAAUUUCUCACCUUCUGGAGAACCGCGAUGCCCUUAAUUGGGUGUCACGGGGAACCAGGACCUUUACUUUGAAAAAUUAGAGUGUUUAAAGCAGGCAUUUUGCUUGAAUACAUUAGCAUGGAAUAAUAAAAUAGGACGGCAUGAUUCUAUUUUGUGGUUUUAGGAUCACCGUAAUGAUUAAUAGGGAUAGUUGGGGGCAUUAGUAUUCAAUUGUCAGAGGUGAAAUUCUUGGAUUUAUUGAAGACUAACUACUGCGAAAGCAUUUGCCAAGGAUGUUUUCAUUAAUCAAGAACGAAAGUUAGGGGAUCGAAGACGAUCAGAUACCGUCGUAGUCUUAACCAUAAACUAUGCCGACUAGGGAUCGGAUGAUGUUAAUUUUUAAUGACUCA
rnacentral:rRNA from 1 species